ensembl:lncRNA
CACAUUGUUGGCAAUUUAAUUUAUUUACCUUUUUUUUUUUUUUUAAGAAAGGAAAAAAGAAAAAAAAAAUCAAAACUUAAAACCUUUCUUUUGCUGUUCCUAUUGUGGGGAUUCUGGUUAGGGUGGGCCUGGGUAGGGUUUGUUUUAUAUGUUUCCUUUUCAGCACAGCCUGUGGUCUGAUACCCGCUCUGGCCCUACUCCUCCAUCACCCUGUCUGAAACAGGAGCUUUGGCUAUGACAGUCCAUCGCCAAUGCCUGUACCCCAUAAAGAAAUUUGCCCCUGCCCCUCAGUCUCCUUGUGAAACCCCAGAAUUGACAUAUAUUGACAAAAUUGAAGGCAACUCUUGGGUUUCUGAGCAAACUUCUGCUUAUUUGGGUUCUAACCUUCAAAUGGGGUACAGAUUAGAUAUGUUUCCAAAAACAAGCUGAAUACACUGCACAACCCUAGUCCACCUAAGGACUUGGGGGCCAUUCAGGGCUCUGUGGGUCACUGCUGGGUCCCUGUGGUGACAAGGAGGAAUAGUAUGAUUGUUUUAAAAGCUCAUGUUGCUGUGGGAUUGGCAAGGUCCGGGACCCCCUUCGCCAUAUACUAGCUUCUCUUUGGGAGUUUCGUUCCAGGCCAGCUGUUGGUUGAGGGAGCUGAGUCAUGGCUCUUUUGGGAUCAGGGUGCAAGGAAGCAGCUUGAGGACCAUAAGGAAGAGUUGGUAUUCCAGCUCUAAGGCAACGUGCUCAGGAAUUUGAAGAGGCUGCUAUACUUUGUAGGGUUACUGUGGUUUGUUUUUUGUUUUUUGUUUUUUUUUUUUUUCAUUCCUCUUUGCCCCUUCCUGCCUUGCCCAGGACCACACUGUCCCCUCCUUCCUCUCUGAUGAGUGAGGAGUCGAAAGCUGGUGUCUCUGCAGUUCUCUGGUUGUGCUGUCCGUGCUGUCCAUGGUGUUCACUAAUAAACCUGUCACUCAACUCUAAAUUCUUAACUACUCCCCUUAUGUCAGUCUUCCUUGCUUUGACCUCUCUCUCACUGCCUGUCCCCCUGGCUUGGUAAUGGACCACAGACUGACAUGCAUACAUUACGUCCUUGUGCUCUGUGCCCUCCUGCCUCCAGGGAUGUAACUAUUCUCUUCUGAGUAUGCCUUUAGCCUGAAAUCUGUUUCCCUAAACGUUCCUGCAUGUGGGGGACACUCCAGAAGACUUGCCGGCUCCUCUUUUUCCAGCAAGCACCCUCCAUCUGGAAGCCUACUGCAGUUGGGGAGCUUCUGCUCCCUGGGGUCUCUGGACCUAAGUGCAGGGAUGGGACUGGAAAGAACUAUGCUGCUGUCUGCAAACCUCCAUAAGGACUUUGCUGGGCUGGGAGAUGGCCGCAGACAGGAGUAUCUUCACAUCCUUCGUCCAUUUGGAAAGGCAAUAUUUCAGGUUGUGGUGGUAAAAGUUAAUCUUCUACUGAGGGUGGAGAGACUACUUCCUCAGGUAAGUGUGGCUGUCACCCCUCAGUUGAAAUGCUUCAUUUUGAAGCAGACAAAGACCAUUACAGAAAGCCACAACUGACCAAAAUGCAGAGAAACAACUGACUGGGGUGCCCAGUACCAACUGAUGCAUCCACAACACAACCCUACAUCUGAGGCUCAGGAGCACUGAGGGAGAAGACAAAGACAGCUGUGAGAUUGUGUCUUCUGUACAUGACAGGAAGCUGAACCCAUGAAACCCCAAGAAAAUGGCCAAACAAGACCUGAACAGUUCCAACACCAGUUGACAUGCCCACAUGGAUGAGGGAAAUGUCAUGGAGCCCCACCUCUAGAAGAAAAGCUGCAAUCUGGUUAGUCCUAAAAACCUCAAC